UACGUAGGGGGCUAGCGUUGUCCGGAAUUAUUGGGCGUAAAGAGCUCGUAGGUGGCUCGUCACGUCGGGUGUGAAAGCCCGGGGCUUAACCCCGGGUCUGCAUUCGAUACGGGCGGGCUAGGGUCCGGCAGGGGAGACUGGAAUUCCUGGUGUAGCGGUGAAAUGCGCAGAUAUCAGGAGGAACACCGGUGGCGAAGGCGGGUCUCUGGGCCGGUACCGACGCUGGAGGAGCGAAAGCCGUGGGGAGCAAACAGG
rnacentral:rRNA from 1 species